GAAAAACAGAGAAGAAAGAAAAAAAAUGGUGCUAAAGGUGUACGGACCUCACUUUGCUUCACCGAAGCGAGCUCUGGUAACACUGGUCGAGAAGGGCGUUGCCUUCGAGACCAUCCCCGUCGAUCUCAUGAAAGGAGAGCACAAGCAGCCUGCUUACCUCGCGUUACAGGUUCGCUUUCUUCUUCCUUCCUCGAUCGCUUCUAAAGUUUCUUCCUUUUUUUAUGGGUUUCUCGAUUCUGAUCGUUACUCUGUUUCUUCCGAUGCAGCCUUUCGGUACCGUUCCUGCUGUUGUCGACGGAGACUACAAAAUCUUCGGUACGAUUUUCUUAAGAAAACCCCCCAACUUAGUUCCAUUUUCGUUUGAUUCACAAAAUUAUUCAACCCCAAAGCGAACGAUCGUUGAUCUAUUCUUGGAUUCGAGGUCUGUUUGAUGGUUGAAGUUAAAUCAUCUACUUUUUUUCAAUUGGUUAUAGGGUUUAUGUUAGGUCAAUAUAUCACCAAUCAAAUAAGUUCUGUUUUAACUCAGAUUUGUAUUUGAUUAACUGAAGUUUAACACUUGAUCUGUCUACAAUCAAAUAACUUCUGUUUUAACUCUGAUUAGUAUCUGAUUAACUGAAGAUCAACACUUGGUCUGUCUACAAUCAAAUAAGUUCUGUUUUAAUUGUGAUACAAUUUUUAGCUUACAAGUGUGAUCUGUCUACAAUUUUUAGCAUUCUAAUCAAGAAAAGAAAAAAAAUAUGUGUAGCUCUUUCGAUUGUAGAGAUAGGAAUUGUGUAGAAGAUGUUUUCUGUCUUCUUGUUGCUUGCAUGUAUAUGAGGAGGUGUUUGGAGAGAUAAGAAAUGUGUAGAAGAUGUUAUCUUGCUCUUGUUUUGUGCUUCAGUGCUUGUGUGUAUCGAUUGAGAUGUUGAGUGAUGGUUUAUUUUGGAAAUUUUGACAGAGUCUCGUGCGGUGAUGAGGUACGUAGCUGAGAAGUACAGGUCACAAGGACCUGACCUUUUGGGGAAAACCGUGGAAGACAGAGGCCAAGUAGAGCAAUGGCUCGACGUGGAGGCAACCACUUACCACCCACCGCUACUUAACCUAACACUGCACGUAAUGUUCGCGUCGGUCAUGGGAUUCCCGGCUGAUCAGAAGCUGAUCAAGGAGAGCGAAGAGAAACUCGCGGCUGUUCUUGAUGUGUACGAGGCACAUCUAUCAAAGAGCAAGUACUUGGCUGGUGAUUUUGUGAGCCUUGCUGAUUUGGCUCACCUUCCCUUCACUGAUUACUUGGUUGGUCCCAUAGGGAAGGCUUACAUGAUCAAAGAUAGGAAGCAUGUGAGUGCAUGGUGGGACGAUAUUAGCAGCCGUCCUGCGUGGAAGGAGGUUCUUGAGAAGUAUUCACUCCCGGCUUAAAGAUGAUGUUUGUGUUCUUGUUGUUGUUUGUGUUUUUGGGUCUCUAAGUGAUGCUGUGUUUUUUAUUUGAGGUUUUUAAUAAAAGUGGAACUGUAUGCCUUCUCUUAUCAAUGUUACCUCUCUGUUCUGUUUCCUUUUGUAACUCCAACUCUUUGUGUGAGGCUUUUAACUAGAGGAACUUUGAUUACCACUGUCACCAUAUUCAUUCAGGACUGUAUUUUGCUUGCAUUCUUGAUGUUCAAAGAAGAAAUGCUAUAAAUGCCAUUGUGACUUUUUAAUUGGGCAAAGAGACCAAAAGUGUUUACAACACUCUAUUUAUUUCAAAGCUGUUACCCUCUAUGAACAUGUUGGAUCCGUACAUGUUAGAGUCAGUCAGAGGUUAGUUAGAAUGUGGAUAAGGUCAAACACUUUCUAUGUACUCCUAAGAGAAUGUAAAGCUUUAUUGAAGAUAAAUGAAAAAAAAAAAAAAUCAGUUUUAGUAAAGCUAAUAAGGGAAUUUUCUAAUACACCAAUUGAAUUACUGAUGCUUUAAUGGUAGAUAUAUUUUCAUUAGGCUUUUAUGGAUCUCUGGGGUCUAUUGAUCGAUAUAUAAAAUCUAUAAACAAAUUUUUAUUUAAUCCAUCUAAUAAUGUUGUUUAAAGUAAUGUUGUCUGCCAGAAUAUAAAUAACAAAAAUAAGUGGGCUCAUUCGACCACGUUUAAUUUUAUAAAUUACACUUUCCUGCUCCUACCGACCUAAUUUUUAACCUACCACCUUUUAGUUUGGCUCUCACUUUGUUUAAUUAAUGCUAAGUCUGAUUAUACAUUCUUAAUUUUUUUUUUAAUCUAAAUUUUAUUAUUAACCAAACAUUUUCCAAAUAUAAAGCCUGCAAGGAUAGAAAUCUUCCCUGAGAGUAGAAGAAGUUCAUAAAACUCUUGGAGACAAAGCCCUAUAAGAUAACCAACUUAAAUUACACAAUUUUAAUUUAUAUCACUAAAAAAAUGGAAAUGCUUUUUAUGCGAAUCAUUCAUCGCAUCUAAUUAGAAUUAAGUGGGAAUAUAUAUUUACCCGGUCAGUGCCUAAUAGUUUUCUUUAAAACAAGUGGUCUCUUUGCAUUAUGAGGUUUAAUAAUUAAAAUAAGCAAAUAUUUUUUUUUCCUUGAAACCAUUUAUCCAGAAUUUUGAUGGCACGUUGGAGAUUUCCUCCUGAAAAGUCAAAAACGACGUGAGUCACGUGACUCAUCGGUCAUCGAUACCGACGAUUAAGGCCUACACUGUUUUUUAAUACAAAAACAAAAAAUACAAAAUGCGACUGCGUUUACAGCUGCAACACGACCGCAAACGCAGCUAACCGGUUCCCUCUUCCUCUAUAUAAUAAUCACGUCCUGAGAGACUGAGAUCGGAACUGAUAGUGAAGAAGAAGAAAGAAGAAAGAGGAAAGAAGAAAGAAGAAAGAAGAAAGAAGAAGAAGAAGAAGAAGAAGAAGAAGAAGAAGAAGAAGAAGAAGAAGAAAAUGGUGUUGACGGUGUAUGCUCCUUUAUACGCUUCUACGAAGAGAGCGCUUGUGACGCUAGUUGAGAAAGGCGUUGACUUCGAGACCGUCAAUGUCGAUCUCUUGAAAGGAGAACAGAGGCAGCCUGAGUAUGUUGCGAUUCAGGUUUCCUCCUCUUCAUUUUCUCUCUCGAUCUCUUUCUUUUCUAUGCAUUGACUUUUUUCUUUCUUCAAGAUUUUGACUCUGUUUUUUUCUUCCUUUCUUGUUCGAUUGCAGCCUUUCGGUAAAAUCCCUGUGCUCGUUGACGGAGACUACAAAAUCUUCGGUACCUUUCCUUCUCCUUCACAUCCAGAUUUUGAUAUCAUACGAUUCGUUUUCGCUAAGUCAAUGAUCGAGUUAUAGAGUUUUAUCAAGAAUAUAUUAAUGGAGUUUGACCAAUGAGAUAUGUAGAAUAUGUGCUUGAAUGUUGAGAUAUUGUUACCUGAUUGAUGAAUCAGAGAUUUUUGUGAUUGAAUAUUAGGAGACUUAGUUCAUGAAUGUUGGAUUGUUUUGAAAUAUUGCAAGUUUCAGAUUUGAUCCAUCAAGAAGGAGUAAAAAAUGUAUAGAGGAAGAGGGUGUUUUACUUUUACAUGUAACAUAUGUAUUGCUGUUUUUGAGGUUUUGAAAAAGAUAUCACUUUAUUGUUUGCAGAGUCGCGAGCGAUCAUGAGGUACGUAGCAGAGAAAUACAGGUCACAAGGGCCAGACUUGUUGGGGAAGACGAUUGAAGAGAGAGGACAAGUAGAGCAAUGGCUUGACGUGGAGGCAACAAGCUACCACCCACCACUACUUGCUCUAACGCUCAACAUUAUCUUUGCACCGCUCAUGGGUUUUCCUGCUGAUGAGAAAGUUAUAAAGGAGAGUGAAGAGAAGCUUGGAGAAGUGUUUGAUGUCUAUGAAGCACAGCUCUCAAAGACCGAGUACUUGGCUGGUGAUUUUGUGAGUCUUGCUGAUUUGGCUCACCUUCCUUUCACUUCUUACUUGGUCGGUCCUAUUGGGAAGGCUUACAUGAUCAAGGAUAGGAAGCAUGUGAGUGCGUGGUGGGAUAAGAUUAGCAGCCGUCCUGCGUGGAAGGAGGUUUCUGAGAAGUAUGCAUUGCCGGUUUAAAGGGAA
rnacentral:lncRNA from 1 species